UUCUAACGACGAGCCACGUCGUAUAACCUGCAGCCAUGGAGCCUUGUCCGCUCCUCUCUUUCCCUGUGGCACAGAGUUCAGUUUGCUUAUUCCUGCGUCCUCUUUGGGGAAAAAAGAACGCAGCCUAAGACAUAGUGUUUCCAAACAGGGGAGGCAGUAACCCUGCUUUGUGUACCUCUGACCAUCAAAACAAGAGCAAACUGCUCCUCCCAUUUCAAUCCCCAGAAUCAUUUACUAGUACAGUGGGUCUAUUUCCCCUGCAGGGGUUAUCCUAACAGAUUCUGCAACUCUCUGUCCUUACCACAGGCUGGUGUGGCCAGCCCAGCUGCGCGCAGGGCUGGGGAGCCCAGGCCCUGCAUUGUCCAGACCGGCCCCAGCCUGCUGCGAGCCCCGCCGGAGUCACCCCCAUGGUGCUUUUCCAGUUACAGCAGGGGGACCACCAUGGUGAUUUAUUUCAUUUUAGUGUCCAUUCUUACCCUCUGGGUCUGGUAGAGUCUAUUGUUAUUCUUGGAUUACCUACACAUUAAAAAAAACAGAGUUCUCUUUUUACGCCAAAGCUAACCUCCAUUCUGCUUGCCCGAGUAUCUAGCCCCACCCCAGCUCCUGUCCCUGGCUGUCCAAUACCUUUCCCAUAGGAUGUCAUGACAAGUGAGAAAAAAAAAUAAUCCCUCCACCCCACCCCACCUCCCCCCUUGAGCCAAUAAGCACAGCGUACCACCUCUGUGGAGACCGUGUUUGUGCCAUUUGAAAUAACCCAACGAAGAGUGUGCACUUGUUAUUACUAUAAAAGUAUUUUUGAGGCCUUUGAAGAUUGAUGGCUUUCCAGUUGUGCGUUAAGCAAAGCUCAAAACACAUGUAAACGUGCAGCUCCCACACACCUCUUUCCUCUUCCUUUCUUGGUAUCUGCAGACCAGUGACACAUGUCAGGGUGGCUGAUGGUGUUGUAGGCAUACGGGCCCUCUGGGAGCUGAUAUAUUUUUUUUUUUCCCCAACCCUGCUCUGCCUGCCAGCUAGUAGACACGUAAGGACUCCCUUCCUCCCUAAGGGCACAGUUGGGUCCUUGGAAUAAGUGACAUCUUGAGAAAGACCAAAGACAUCUGAGCUCUUUGUCACACAAGUGCUAACAGAAGAUGGGCCACAACAGUUAAAACACUUGAAUGGAUGGCAGUGUGCUUUUCCCUUGGCUUCGCAUACAAAAGAAAAUGAAACACCUUGUGCAGGGGGGGAAAAAACAGGAUUCACUUUUACUGGUUGUUUUAAUGAGAAUCACUUUGAGCGAUCAUCACCUUAUGUUUCCUACAAGGCCCCAGAGGAAAGCAGCUCUGUGUCUAGGCCUGAACCCCUACCCCUCCAAAGGCCAGGGCUGGGCGUCCACUCGGCUACUCCCCGCCCUCUGCCCGGGUCUGUUCUCCUUCAGGUCCAGGCUCAUGGAGCUCCAAGUCAGCAACGCCAGCCAAGCCGCCUCCCCCGACUGGACCCUCACAGUGGCCACUGCUCCCAGGAAGUAUUUCAGCUGUGCACCGACUAUUCCACGAGGCACCCUCUUCGCCAAGUGUUUGGAUGGCCUACAGGUGGCAGCUUGGCCUCAGCUUUUAUCGUCUUUCUGGACCACCCUGUACGUAAGUCCCCGUCCUGUUCUCUACCAAUGCCACUCGUCCACAGGAAUUUGA
rnacentral:lncRNA from 1 species